GUGCUCACUCUGGCAACACAUAUAUUAAAAUUGGAAAAAUACAGAUAAGAUUAGCAUGGCCCCUAUGCAAAAAUGACACACAAAUUCAUGAAGCAUUCCAUAUUUUU